AUACGGAGGGUGCAAGCGUUGUUCGGAAUUACUGGGCGUAAAGCGCGCGUAGGUGGUCUGUUAUGUCAGAUGUGAAAGUCCACGGCUCAACCGUGGAAGUGCAUUUGAAACUGGCAGACUUGAGUACUGGAGGGGGUAGUGGAAUUCCCGGUGUAGAGGUGAAAUUCGUAGAUAUCGGGAGGAAUACCGGUGGCGAAGGCGGCUACCUGGCCAGAUACUGACACUGAGGUGCGAAAGCGUGGGGAGCGAACAGGAUUAGAUACCCCGGUAGUCC
rnacentral:rRNA from 1 species